rnacentral:rRNA from 1 species
GCAUAUCAAUAAGCGGAGGAAAAGAAACCAACAGGGAUUGCUCUAGUAACGGCGAGUGAAGCAGCAAUAGCUCAAAUUUGAAAUCUGGCGUCUUCGGCGUCCGAGUUGUAAUUUGUAGAGGAUGCUUCUGAGUAACCACCGACCUAAGUUCCUUGGAACAGGACGUCAUAGAGGGUGAGAAUCCCGUAUGCGGUCGGAAAGGUGCUCUACACGUAGCUCCUUCGACGAGUCGAGUUGUUUGGGAAUGCAGCUCUAAAUGGGAGGUAAAUUUCUUCUAAAGCUAAAUAUUGGCCAGAGACCGAUAGCGCACAAGUAGAGUGAUCGAAAGAUGAAAAGCACUUUGGAAAGAGAGUUAAAAAGCACGUGAAAUUGUUAAAAGGGAAGGGAUUGCAACCAGACUUGCUCGCGGUGUUCCGCCGGUCUUCUGACCGGUCUACUCGCCGCGUUGCAGGCCAGCAUCGUCUGGUGCCGCUGGAUAAGACUUGAGGAAUGUAGCUCCCUCGGGAGUGUUAUAGCCUCUUGUGAUGCAGCGAGCGCCGGGCGAGGUCCGCGCUUCGGCUAGGAUGCUGGCGUAAUGGUUGUAAUCCGCCCGUCUUGAAACACGGACC